rnacentral:misc_RNA from 1 species
AACCUAGCACACCUGCGGUGUGUACCUGCGGAAGGAUCAUUACCGAGUGCGGGUCCCCUCGCGGGGCCCAACCUCCCACCCGUGUCUACCGUCACCUGUUGCUUCGGCGGGCCCGCCUUCGUGCCGCCGGGGGGCCCUCUGCGCCCCCGGGCCCGCGCCCGCCGAAGACUCUAGGAACACUGAAUGAAGGAUGCCGUCUGAGUCAAACGACACAAUCGUUAAAACUUUUAACAACGGAUC